rnacentral:lncRNA from 1 species
CCGGAGGAAGCCAUUGUUGUUAAGUCCCCUGUUGUCGUCAUUGGCUAAGGCGUGCCUAGAAGCCCCUUUCCCGCACAGGGCUCCGCGAUGUCUCCCCAGUCUCGAGCUCUCCUGCCCUGGCCGCUUCAGGCGAGGCUACAGCAUCCCAGCCCUUGAGUGCGCGGUGGCCCCUCCGCAUCCCAGCUCCAGGGCUCUCAGAAUUGGGGAAACCCCAGGCCCCGUGCGGAGCUUCGAAAACCGACGGCGCCAAGCGGCACCUGCCGGGGGUCCUGACCUAGACGAACAAGAGUUCCAACCGUGCUCUAACAAGGACCUACAAGGUGACCUUGGCCGGUGGUUUCCCCUCUCGCUACCUCAGCUUGCACCCCCUGGCCCGAAGAAGAAGCUGAGGCCCCACUCCUCUAAGGGAGGUUGGAGGGAGAAAGGACCCCCACCCUCACUCCCUCGCCCCUCUCCUUGCGUGGGCUUUGGGCUGAGUCUUCCGCUGGGAGUAGCGGGGAGUGUGCCGAAUAAAGGCUGGCGCUGGCCCCGGGCGCAGCGUGGGUGUAGAUGCGGCGCGGGGGGCUCGCGCAGACCCUUCGGUUCUUCUGUUCCGCACCGUUUCCCAGCGCAGUACGCUCCCUUCGUGCACGCCGCCCGCAAACCUUGGCAAGGGCCUCACUCUCCCCCGCCUGAGCAGCCAGCCCGCAGCCCAGCUUGCCUAAUUCGUUCAAGCCUCACCUCCUCCGCGAAGCUCUCCCAGACCCUCCUCUUCACAGAGUGUCACAGCUUGGAGGGCACAAUGCGAUGCCCACUCCCAUUUCAUCCUACAGUGGCGGCAGGUGUGAGGGGCAGAGAGCAUUGAGCAGUUGAAGGUUUAACCCGGGGCUCAGCCACCCACUUUGCUGGGUUUCUGGCCAGAGUCCCUGGAGUUCUCCCGGAUGUGUGUCUGCGCACCCCACACUCUUUCUGGUUCUCUCGAGCUAGGUAAUGGACCCACACCUGUUUGUGCCUCUGUCGGGAGGGGUUGGAGGACCCCCCCCCGCCCCCCGUGCAGGCUUGCGAAGGGAGGUGUUUCUUGGGGGAAGGUUGGUCGAGAGGUGCCUAGGUUUUGG